CGAAUGCUGACAUAAGUAACGAUAAAGCGGGUGAAAAGCCCGCUCGCCGGAAGACCAAGGGUUCCUGUCCAACGUUAAUCGGGGCAGGGUGAGUCGACCCCUAAGGCGAGGCCGAAAGGCGUAGUCGAUGGGAAACAGGUUAAUAUUCCUGUACUUGGUGUUACUGCGAAGGGGGGACGGAGAAGGCUAUGUUGGCCGGGCGACGGUUGUCCCGGUUUAAGCGUGUAGGCUGGUUUUCCAGGCAAAUCCGGAAAAUCAAGGCUGAGGCGUGAUGACGAGGCACUACGGUGCUGAAGCAACAAAUGCCCUGCUUCCAGGAAAAGCCUCUAAGCAUCAGGUAACAUCAAAUCGUACCCCAAACCGACACAGGUGGUCAGGUAGAGAAUACCAAGGCGCUUGAGAGAACUCGGGUGAAGGAACUAGGCAAAAUGGUGCCGUAACUUCGGGAGAAGGCACGCUGAUAUGUAGGUGAAGUCCCUCGCGGAUGGAGCUGAAAUCAGUCGAAGAUACCAGCUGGCUGCAACUGUUUAUUAAAAACACAGCACUGUGCAAACACGAAAGUGGACGUAUACGGUGUGACGCCUGCCCGGUGCCGGAAGGUUAAUUGAUGGGGUUAGCCGCAAGGCGAAGCU
rnacentral:rRNA from 1 species